AUAAUAGAUUCAUGAGAAAGUCUUUUUUCUGGGGCAAACCUACAAGAUAAUUAUAUUAUUUGGCAGUGUAUCAUGAAGAAGUACAGCAAAAAAUUUCCAAAUAUCCACAUCACUCUGAGAUCACAACACAUUAUAGUUACAUGAAAUCUCGGUGAGCAAACAACCAUCGCUGGACCAGCCGGUGGUUCUUCACUGGACACAGAACCUACUAACACUGCUAUCUUGGACUUCUUUUCUUCCAGAACUGUGAGAAAUAAAAUCUGCCUUAGCAGGAAGCUGGAGUCAGGAGCUAGAGCCAAGAGUUGAACCUGGGUAUUCCAAUGGGUGAUGCAGGCAUCUUC